rnacentral:lncRNA from 1 species
AAAAUUAAUUAUCUUCUCGUACAGAAUUCGAAUGAUGUCCUCGUUUGUUUCUCUUGAAAAUAGACUCAUUCAGGAUUCUAAACAUAUAAAUUUAAGCCCCUAAUUGUUUUUAUCCAAUUUUUUAUGAUUUUUCAAAUUCAGAACAGGGGAACCCGAAAUCAUUCUGACCUUGUCUCACAAAAUUUAUCAUAUAUCAUGAUUUACAAUUCCAUUGCUUACAUAAUUUCUUCUAUAAGAAACUAGACUC